GUAACAAGGUUUCCGUAGGUGAACCUGCGGAAGGAUCAUUACAGUAUUUGGACAUAAUUCAGUAGUAACUUGCCAGCGCUUAAUUGCGCGGUGAGUGCUAUUGGAGUCCAGUAAUUCUACACACAAUGUUUUUUGUUUAACGAAUUUUGCUUUGGUCUGAAACUAGAAAUAGAUUUGGGCCAGAGUAUUCAUAAACUAAACUUCAAUUUUAUAUUGAAUUGUUAUUUAAUUAUUAGUCAAUUUGUUGAUUUAUAUCAAAUAAUCUUCAAAACUUUCAACAACGGAUCUCUUGGUUCUCGCAUCGAUGAAGAACGCAGCGAAAUGCGAUAAGUAAUAUGAAUUGCAGAUUUUCGUGAAUCAUCGAAUCUUUGAACGCACAUUGCGCCCUCUGGUAUUCCAGAGGGCAUGCCUGUUUGAGCGUCAUUUCUCUCUCAAACCGUAAGGUUUGGUAUUGAGCAUUAUAGAGUAAUCUAUUUGCUUGAAAUGAAUUGGCAUGAGAAUUACGAAGAAAAAUGCCAGUAGCAUUCAAUGUAUUAGGUCUAACCAACUCGUUGAAUAAGCUAUCGGUAGUUUCAUUGUAAAUUUGGCUCGGCCUUAUAACAAACCACUAAGUUUGACCUCAAAUCAGGUAGGAGUACCCGCUGAACUUAAGCA
rnacentral:misc_RNA from 1 species